ensembl:lincRNA
UUCUGUCUCUAUGGAUUUGUCUAUUCUUAACAUUUCAUGUAAAUGGAAUCAUAUAGUAUGUGACCAUUCAUGUCUGACUGGGCCUUUUAUCUUACAGUGGAAGAGACUUAGGGCCAGAGAAGGAAGGUGAGAUGCCCAUGAUUAUACUGCUGGUGAGCGCCCUAGUCUGGACUUGAACCCAGAAACAGUACUCUUUAUAACAUACCUUUCUGCCUCUCAGCAUUCAGAUCUUCAGUUUUAUGAUGAUGAUGAUGAUAAGACCACCACCCCAGCUACUUCUUUUCAGUUGGCUUUACUUUGUGUCAUUCAGAGAACUUGGAAACAUUCAUUCUCCCUCCUGCUGAAUCAGCGGAGUAGGUGGAAGAGCUUUAAAAAGCUGUCAAGGACCCAUCUUUCUUUGCCAAUUGAUGCAGGAGGAGGACAGCUGGGCAAUCGGAACAGAGCCAAAAGGAGUUGGCAUCCUUUAGAAGAGUUCGUGAAACCUUUCUGCCCAGAGCUCCUGGACCAAUGCAUCUUCCCACCACCUUAAACCACUGAGUGGUACCUAAAUAAAAUUAAAAAGAAUGAAACUUCCUGGCAAUCAUAGGGGGAGGAUUUUUCCUUCUGCUUCCUUCUUCAGUAAGUGAUUUCAGGAAUUAAAAAAAGUAUGGGACCUUCCCAUGCCCCUGGAGACUUAGAGUGGUAGGACAUUUAAAAACUGGUGGUAUCCUUCUUAAGUUAAAAAAACAAAAACACAAAAACAAAAAACUGC